rnacentral:rRNA from 1 species
GCGUGCCUAAUACAUGCAAGUCGAGCGAACAGAUGAGAAGCUUGCUUCUCUGAUGUUAGCGGCGGACGGGUGAGUAACACGUGGGUAACCUACCUAUAAGACUGGGAUAACUCCGGGAAACCGGGGCUAAUACCAGAUAAUACAUUGAACCGCAUGGUUCAAUGUUGAAAGACGGUUUCGGCUGUCACUUAUAGAUGGACCCGCGCCGUAUUAGCUAGUUGGUAAGGUAACGGCUUACCAAGGCAACGAUACGUAGCCGACCUGAGAGGGUGAUCGGCCACACUGGAACUGAGACACGGUCCAGACUCCUACGGGAGGCAGCAGUAGGGAAUCUUCCGCAAUGGGCGAAAGCCUGACGGAGCAACGCCGCGUGAGUGAUGAAGGUCUUAGGAUCGUAAAACUCUGUUGUUAGGGAAGAACAAAUUUGUUAGUAACUGAACAAGUCUUGACGGUACCUAACCAGAAAGCCACGGCUAACUACGUGCCAGCAGCCGCGGUAAUACGUAGGUGGCAAGCGUUAUCCGGAAUUAUUGGGCGUAAAGCGCGCGUAGGCGGUUUCUUAAGUCUGAUGUGAAAGCCCACGGCUCAACCGUGGAGGGUCAUUGGAAACUGGGGAACUUGAGUGCAGAAGAGGAGAGUGGAAUUCCAUGUGUAGUGGUGAAAUGCGCAGAGAUAUGGAGGAACACCAGUGGCGAAGGCGGCUCUCUGGUCUGUAACUGACGCUGAUGUGCGAAAGCGUGGGGAUCAAACAGGAUUUAAGAUUACCCUGGAAGUCCACACCGUAAACGAUGAAGUGCUAAGUGUUAGGGGGGUUUCCGCCCCUUAGUGCUGCAGCUAGCGCAUUAAGCACUCCGCCUGGGGAGUACGACCGCAAGGUUGAAACUCAAAGGAAUUGACGGGGACCCGCACAAGCGGUGGAGCAUGUGGUUUAAUUCGAAGCAACGCGAAGAACCUUACCAAAUCUUGACAUCCUUUGACCGCUCUAGAGAUAGAGUUUUCCCCUUCGGGGGACAAAGUGACAGGUGGUGCAUGGUUGUCGUCAGCUCGUGUCGUGAGAUGCUGGGUUAAGUCCCGCAACGAGCGCAACCCUUAAGCUUAGUUGCCAUCAUUAAGUUGGGCACUCUAGGUUGACUGCCGGUGACAAACCGGAGGAAGGUGGGGAUGACGUCAAAUCAUCAUGCCCCUUAUGAUUUGGGCUACACACGUGCUACAAUGGAUAAUACAAAGGGCAGCGAACCCGCGAGGUCAAGCAAAUCCCAUAAAAUUAUUCUCAGUUCGGAUUGUAGUCUGCAACUCGACUACAUGAAGCUGGAAUCGCUAGUAAUCGUAGAUCAGCAUGCUACGGUGAAUACGUUCCCGGGUCUUGUACACACCGCCCGUCACACCACGAGAGUUUGUAACACCCAGAAGCGCGGUGGAGUAGCCUUUUAUUAGGAGCUAGCCGUCGAAGGUGGGACAGAUGAUUGGGGUGAAG